CCUUGCUCUGGAGGACUGCUGAGGACUCGAGGAGAACUCGGAGGACUUAACGCACAGCCUGGGGAGUCAGUUGGACAGAGACGGUGUGGCCACGGACGAGUCUGCACACUCACCUGUGAGGACGACAGACAGGAGAGCACAUUCUGUGUCCCAUCUUCAGAAAUCUUUUUCCACGUGAAAGUGAACGACGGACUGAUCCUGCUCCCUGGACCUGCUCUGCCCUCCCGUUUCCGACCCUGCUUUUCCCCACCGCCAGAUGAAGGGCAGAUGAA